rnacentral:rRNA from 1 species
AUGGCGGGAGGAGGGAAGGUGUACUCGUUCCAAGAGGUGCGCAAGCACAGCCAACGCAAGGAUUGCUGGCUCAUCAUCUCCGGCAAGGUGUACGACGUGACGCCCUUCAUGGAGGAGCACCCGGGCGGCGACGAGGUCCUGCUGGCGUGCACCGGCAAGGACGCGACGGCCGACUUCGAGGACAUCGGCCACUCGGACUCCGCCAAGGAGCUGAUGCCGCAGUACUGCAUCGGGGAGGUCGACGCCGCCACCGUCCCGGCCAAGCUCGCCCGCGCCGUCCUCCCCGCCAAGGGGGCGGCGGCUCCUGCGCCACGCGCGAGCACGGGCCAGGGCGUCUGGCUCACGGUGCUGCAGCUCGCCCUGCCUCUCCUGCUGGUGGCCAUGGCCUUCGCGCUUCAGAACUUCGCCAAAACCAAAACAGAGUAG